GUAAGGAAUAUUGGACAAUGGCGGAGACGCUGAUCCAGCUAUCCCGCGUGCAGGAUGAAGGACCUAUGGUUUGUAAACUGCUUUAGACUGGGGCGAAAAAGUGGGAUUUAUCCUACAUUGACGGUACCAGUAAAAUAAGCACCGGCUAACUCCGUGCCAGCAGCCGCGGUAAUACGGAGGGUGCAAGCGUUAUCCGGAAUCACUGGGUAUAAAGGGUGCGUAGGCGGCUUGCUAAGUCAGGAGUGAAAGGCCACGGCUUAACCGUGGGAUUGCUUUUGAUACUGGCGAGCUUGGAUUAGGACGAGGUUGGCGGAAUGUGGCAAGUAGCGGUGAAAUGCAUAGAUAUGCCAUAGAAUACCGAUUGCGAAGGCAGCUGACUAGACCUAUAUUGACGCUGAGGCACGAAAGCGUGGGGAGCGAACAGGAUUAGAAACCCGAGUAGUCC
rnacentral:rRNA from 1 species